GCUAGUUGUAUUAUUAGUUAAUGCAAGAUCGACUACGUCGACUAAAGUUCUAGGUAGAAUAAUGAUGAUGACAAUUUUUUACCUAUAUGUCUUGACCAAGUCUCGUGCCAGCAGUCGCGGUAAUACGUGGAAGACUAGUGUUAUUCAUCUUUAUUAGGUUUAAAGGGUACCUAGACGGUAUUUCUAGCCCAAAAUAGGGUACGGAUUUACUAGAGUUUUAUGUGAGGAGGGGAGUACUCGUGGAGUAGAGAUGAAAUUUUGUUAUACUAUGAGGUAACUGGUGGCGGCGAAAGCAACCUUCUAUGUAUAAACUGACGUUGAGGGACGAAGGCUUGGGUAGCAAAUAGGAUUAGAUACCCUAGUAGUCCAAGCAGACAAUUCUGAAUGCCAUAGAUUAGAUUUUUUUUGAUCUAUAAAUGAAAGUGUAAGCAUUCCACCUUAGGAGUAAUGUGGCAACACAGGAACUGAAAUCAUUAGACCGUUUCUGAAACCAGUAGUGAAGUAUGUUAUUUAAUUUGAUGGUCCACAAAAAACCUUACCACAACUUGAAUAUUUUUUAAUUAAUACAAGCGUUGCACGGCUGUCUUCAGUUAAUGUCGUGAGAUUUUGGUUAACUCCAUUAAUUAACGUAAACCCUUACUUUAUUUAUUUUU
rnacentral:rRNA from 1 species